CUCAGAAUCAACGCUGGCGGCGUGCCUAACACAUGCAAGUCGAACGGGAAAGUGGAGCAAUCCAUGAGUAUAGUGGCGACCGGGUGAGUAACACGUGACUACCUGCCCUUGAGUGGGGGAUAACCUCGGGAAACCGAGGCUAAUACCGCAUAAUAUCGCAAGAUCAAAGGAGCAAUCCGCUUUUGGAGGGGGUCGCGGCUGAUUAGCUAGUUGGUAAGGUAAUGGCUUACCAAGGCGAAGAUCGGUAUCCGGCCUGAGAGGGCGCACGGACACACUGGAACUGAAACACGGUCCAGACUCCUACGGGAGGCAGCAGUGGGGAAUUUUGCGCAAUGGGGGAAACCCUGACGCAGCAACGCCGCGUGGAGGAUGAAGCCCCUUGGGGCGUAAACUCCUUUCGACUGGGAAGAUUAUGACGGUACCGGAAGAAGAAGCCCCGGCUAACUUCGUGCCAGCAGCCGCGGUAAUACGAGGGGGGCGAGCGUUGUUCGGAAUUAUUGGGCGUAAAGGGUGCGUAGGCGGUUUGGUAAGUCUUAUGUGAAAUCUAUGGGCUCAACUCAUAGACUGCAUGAGAAACUGCCGGGCUUGAGUAUGGGAGAGGUGAGUGGAAUUCCUGGUGUAGCGGUGAAAUGCGUAGAUAUCAGGAGGAACACCUGUGGCGAAAGCGGCUCACUGGACCAUAACUGACGCUGAUGCACGAAAGCUAGGGGAGCAAACAGGAUUAGAUACCCUGGUAGUCCUAGCCCUAAACGAUGACUGCUUGGUGUGACGGGUACCCAAUCCCGCCGUGCCGUAGCUAACGCGUUAAGCAGUCCGCCUGGGGAGUACGGUCGCAAGGCUGAA
rnacentral:rRNA from 1 species